rnacentral:lncRNA from 1 species
UGCUUCACUAGACAUAGACACUUAACUGCAUGUCAAGCACAACAGCAUGUUACACCUAACUCUCAAGGACCCAAAACAGCUUGGGUACCAAAGACUCGUUAAUUUGUCUUGUAGGUAUGUUUGAAGGGAUCAAGUGUACUUUGGUACCUUGAUAGUGGAUGCUCCAAACACAUGACGGAGACGAAUCCAAGUUCCUUCAACUAGAACAUAAGGAAGAAGGAAGCGUUAUUUUUGGUGAUAACAACAAAGGAAAAAUUAUCGGUAUCGGAUCGGUCGGUAAGGAUGAACAUUCUUCCAUUAAGCAUAUAUUGUUCGUUAAAGG